UCUGGCAAUUAUGGCAAGAAGGUCACACCCGUUCCCAUACCGAACACGGAAGUUAAGCUUCUUUGCGCCGAUGGUAGUUGGGACGAAAGUCCCUGUGAGAGUAGGACGUUGCCAGGC
rnacentral:rRNA from 1 species